UCAUGAUGAACAUCUAGAUGACGAGUCUUAUUCGAGUUUUCGAUGCAGACAACCUUUUAAUUUUAACCAUUCAUGCUUUCCUGACA
rnacentral:snoRNA from 1 species